GGCUUCGUGGCCUAAUGGCUAGGGCGCUAGAUUUCGGUUCAAUAGAUAUUGAUUCUCUAGAGAUUGUCGGUUCGAGUCCGGCCGAAGUCG